rnacentral:rRNA from 1 species
UACGUAGGGGGCUAGCGUUGUCCGGAAUCAUUGGGCGUAAAGCGCGUGUAGGCGGCCCGGUAAGUCCGCUGUGAAAGUCGGGGGCUCAACCCUCGGAUGCCGGUGGAUACUGUCGGGCUUGAGUACGGAAGAGGCGAGUGGAAUUCCUGGUGUAGCGGUGAAAUGCGCAGAUAUCAGGAGGAACACCGAUUGCGAAGGCAGCUCGCUGGGACGGUACUGACGCUGAGGCGCGAAAGCGUGGGGAGCGAACAGG